rnacentral:SRP_RNA from 1 species
AGCCAGGACUCAUGCGGGCGGACACCGCCCAACCCCGCCAGGCCCGGAAGGGAGCAACGGUAAGCGGAAGUUCGUUGCGCCGUGAUCAUCCUGGUUUCG